rnacentral:tRNA from 1 species
GGGAAUGUAGCUUAGCGGUAGUAGAGUGCUUGCCUAGCAUGCAUGAAGCCCUGGGUUCAAUUCCUCAGUACCA